CAGUCUGGACACACCUCCAUCUGCAGUCUGGACACACCUCCAUCUGCAGUCUGGUCACACCUCCAUCUGCAGUCUGGACACACCUCCAUCUGCAGUCUGGACACACCUCCAUCUGCAGUCUGGUCACACCUCCAUCUGCAGUCUGGACACACCUCCAUCUGUAGUCUGGACACACCUCCAUCUGCAGUCUGGUCACACCCCCAUCUGUAGUCUGGACACACCUCCAUCUGCAGUCUGGUCACAACCCCAUCUGUAGUCUGGACACACACCCGUCUGUAGACUGGACACACCCCCAUGAGUCUGGACACCCCUCCAUCUGAAGUCUGGUCACAUCUCCAUCUGCAGUCUGGACACACCCCCAUAUGCGGUCUGGACACACCCCCAUAUGAAGUCUGGACACACCCCCAUAUGAAGUCUGGACACACCCCCAUAUGACAUUUGGACACGACCCCAUCUGAAGUCUCCGCCCACCACCUGUCCUUAAUUGUCGGACACCACCCCACCCCUCAACGCUUUCCCUGUUUUCCAUGGACACACAUGAAUGUGCAUGUGCCUGCGCGCACGCUUAUCCACACAAACAUAUGCAAACACACACACACACGUGCGCGUGCAUACCUAAAGCCUAGGGCAUUAGCGUCAUGCUAGCAUUGACUAAGGAAGCUGUAUCAGGCAGUAACACCAUUAUGAAGUGACUAAACAGCAGUAACACCAUUAUGAAGUAACAAAACUGCAGUAACACCAUUAUGAAGUAACAAACCAGCAGUAACACCAUUAUGAAGUAACAAAACAUCAGUAACACCAUUAUGAAGUAACAAAACAGCAGUAACACCAUUAUGAAGUAACAAAACAGCAGUAACACCAUUAUGAAGUAACAAAACAGCAGUAACACCAUUAUGAAGUAACAAAACAGCAGUAACACCAUUAUGAAGUAACAAAACAUCAGUAACACCAUUAUGAAACAAUUAACAGCAGUAACACCAUUAUGAAGUAACAAAACAGCAGUAACACCAUUAUGAAGUGACAAAACAGCAGUAACACCAUUAUGAAACUACAAAACAGCAGUAACACCAUUAUGAAGUGACAAAACAGCAGUAACACCAUUAUGAAGUGACAAAACAGCAGUAACACCAUUAUGAAACGACAAAACAGCAGUAACACCAUUAUGAAGUGACAAAACAGCAGUAACACCAUUAUGACGUGACAAAACAGCAGUAACACCAUUAUGAAGUGACAAAACAGCAGUAACACCAUUAUGAAGUGACAAAACAGCAGUAACACCAUUAUGAAAUAACAAAACAGCAGUAACACCAUUAUGAAGUGACUAAACAGCAGUAACACCAUUAUGAAAGAACAAAACAUCUGUAACGUUUAUUUGAUUCACAGCACUUUAUCUUGUAUUUGAUUCACAGCACUUUGUCUUGUAUUUGAUUCACAGCACUUUGUCUUGUAUUUGAUUCACAGCACUUUGUCUUGUAUUUGAUUCACAGC
ensembl:lncRNA